rnacentral:lncRNA from 1 species
GGGUGAAGACAAACCUGUAUAGGUAUAUAAAAUUCAUAGUGAUAAAUUUUCUCAUGAAUGUAUCUGUGUAUAACAUUUUAUAGAUAUGCCAUUCACAGUAAAAUCAGGACAAAAGGAAGACAUGCAAUCACAUUUGGACAGCAAGAAGAUCUCCAAGAAUCACGCAGAGAAUGGUGGCAGUCAGCAGAACAAGUCUUAGCAGUGAUAUCAGAGGAAGAGCAAGAAAGACUUGAAGAAAGUGAAAACAACGAGCUACAAAUUUCUCAUGGGCAUAAGAAAGAAAAAGAUCUGUUGCAUAAAAAUUGCAUGUUGCAGGAAGAAAUUGCAAGGCUAAGACUGGAAAUAGAUGCACUGAAAAAUUGGAACCAGCAAAAGGAAAAGAAUUUUCUUGAGGACAUUAAAAUUGCGAAAGAAAAGAAUGAUUUCCUUCAAAAUGCUUUGAUGCUGAAAGAGGAAACAUUUGCAACAAUGAUAUUCCAGGACAGUAUACAGCCUGAAGUUUUGAAAGCUGAGAAUGAAAUGUCCAGUUUUAAAUUGAAGGAUAAAAGCCAAAACCAGGAGAGACUGGAAAGAGAAAUUGAAUCAUAUC